rnacentral:rRNA from 1 species
GACAGAGGCCUCGAGCGUUAGGCGGAAUCACUGGGCUUAAAGCGUGUGUAGGCGGGCCCGUAAGUGUCUUGUGAAAUCCCCAGGCUCAACCUGGGAACUGCGUCCGAUACUGGAUGGCUUGAAUCCGGGAGAGGGAUGCAGAAUUCCAGGUGUAGCGGUGAAAUGCGUAGAUAUCUGGAGGAAUACCGGUGGCGAAGGCGGCAUCCUGGACCGGCAUUGACGCUGAGGAGCGAAAGCCAGGGGAGCAAACGGG